UACGUAGGGUGCAAGCGUUAAUCGGAAUUACUGGGCGUAAAGCGUGCGCAGGCGGUUUUAGUAAGUUUGUCGUGAAAUCCCCGGGCUCAACCUGGGAAUUGCGAUGAAGACUGCAAGGCUAGAAUCUGGCAGAGGGGGGUAGAAUUCCACGUGUGAGCAGUGAAAUGCGUAGAGAUGUGGAGGAACACCGAUGGCGAAGGCAGCCCCCUGGGUCAAGAUUGACGCUCAUGCACGAAAGCGUGGGGAGCAAACAGG
rnacentral:rRNA from 1 species